CCGAGCAGCGGGAGCUCAACCCGUCGCGGGGAUUCGAACUGCCGACCUUCUGAUCAGCAAGCCCUAGGCUCUGUGGCCACCCGUGUCCCUACGGAAAAAGCCUAUCGCAGACCAAAUCCCCCUCCCAAACCUGGAAAUUCUCCUCAAGUCUGACCGACAAUAAGGAAAACGGGUGACAGCUGAUUUAUUGCCAACUCCGUGUUACGCUCUGAACUAUAAGCUAUCAAAUUACAAUUACAAACCGGGGGAUGUGUUAAAAGGAAGUCCGCACCCUCUUCUAUUACAGACGAUUUAAAGCAAAAACCGAAGGUGGAAUGAUUGUUUUCCUCUUUGUGAGAUAAAGGACAUUAACUCCAAGAUUGACAUUAAAAGUUAUACAUUUUGAGUCGGAAAAAAGAAUUUUUUGAAGUCUUUGUGUAGCCCCCCCGGACCCGGGAGCGUCCCGUGAAUGAGAGCUGUUGGAGAGAAGCAGGGAGUUUGACAGCUGUCAAAGGGCUGUCAAACGAACCGUUAGAAAAUUUGUUAUAACUUGUAUCUGCGGACUAAUUUUGUUACAUUUGAGUAUAAGUUGGUGGAAACAAAGAAGGAAUAAAUAACAAAGUAAAAGACUGUUGGAGAAGGACUACUAAGUAUCCAGAAUCCCUCUAGGGGGAAUUCUGAGACAUUACAAUGGCUGCAGAUGGAAAAUUACAGGCGGAGAUUGAAAGGAUGUUCUUUCUCGUGGGAAUAUUACAAGACCGGAGCACAGUUAUGGCUACGAAACUAUCGACCUUGAAUCCUAAAAUAAGCAAUACUGCCGACUGUGUGGAGGACUUGUUGGAAAAAAAUCCUGCAGCUGAAUUGGAAGAGACAUCUUUGGAACCAGAAGAGAGGGAAGAAGGAGUGGAAAAAAUACAGGCAGAAAGUACCAACCAGAAAUUUACAUCUGUGGAAUAUAAAGAAGAAGAUUUAUGGAUUAUGAAUUUGCUUGAGAUGGGAGAGGGAGCCCCUGGAAUAUCUGAAAUAUUUGGACUCAAAAGAAACAAGAAAUACGAUUGGGGCCUCUCUCUUGGAUGUGGAAAGCAGGUUGGAAGGUACCUCGAUUUUAUUGUGCCAGAGCUGCUUCGUGACCUGAUGAUCAACAUAAAUGACUACCAACAAACCCGGCGGAGAGAGAUGGACAGAGACUUGAGGGCCUCGAAUGUGAGAAAUCCAGGCUAGAAAUUGUCUUUUUGUGGACAUUCCUUUUGGAAGGGGACUGAAACUGGGGAAGGGGGGGGUGAGGGCAGAAUCUUAAAAUUUUUUAAUGAUCUGUGUGUUUAGAUAAUAGAAAUAACUUUGAAUGAAAAAAUGGGAAAUCUGUGGGGGGGGGGAAAGGGGUCGACCUUAGAAAAAGGUAAAAGAAUUAGAAGAAAUUGGCAUAAGAUAAAAAUGAUUUAAUCAAGAAUGAAGUUAAGAAGAAGAAGAACAAUAAGUUUGUAAGGAUGAGAGAUAAGGACUUGCUGAACCAACUUUUGGAAUAGGGAUGUAAGAGGGGGGGUGGGGGGAAGUCAGGGGAAGUAGUUAAUGAGGCAAGGAUAUGAAAUUUUACAUGUUUUGUCUUUGUUUUUGUAUGUUUGUUUUGUCUAUAAAAAUUUGGAAAUUCAAUAAAAAUUUAUUAAAAAGACAUUGUCCGGCAGCGUCAAAAAAGGAACCCUUCGAAGCCCACGUCGUAACUAGGAGGUGAGUCGACAGAGAGUACCUAGACGCAAGGACAUGAGCAAUCCUCAGCAGCAAGCCUCAAAGUCCCAAACGAUUCUGCAGUCUGAGAAGGCUGGGUGAGCUGCUGGUCUCCUGCUGUCGUGCCACAAAAAUCCAUCCCCUGGUCUGUGAGGAGGAGGACACAGUGAGUGUAAUGAAGGAUGGAAAGGAAAGAAGGGUAAAGGUGAGAACGAUCUACGUAAGGCCAAGGGACCAGAGGAUGGAUACCACAGAUGCUACUACCAAUGGCAGUGAUAGCAGUGAGGCCAGCAGCUCCUGUACAGCUCUACCCCGCUCCAAGACCCAGUUCUCCCUUCGCCCCAAACCCAAGUAUCUAAAUAAAUAAAUAAUAGGGAUGCGGGUGGCGCUGUGGGUUAAACCACAGAGCCUAGGACUUGCCUAUCAGAAGGUCAGCGGUUCGA